rnacentral:misc_RNA from 1 species
UUGAGUAAACCUGAUGUGGCUGUUAGCUGGCUUAGGCAUGUGCUCGUCCAUCAUCUUUAUAUCUCCACCUGUGCACAUUUUGUAGACUUGGAUAAUGGCUCUGUCAUUUACAAGACUAUGUUUUCAAUAUACCCAAAGCAUGUUUAAAGAAUGUCAUCAAUAGGAACUUGGUUUCCUAUUAGAAACUAUACAACUUUCAGCAACGGAUCUCUUGGCUCUCGCAUCGAUGAAGAACGCAGCGAAAUGCGUUAAGUAAUGUGAAUUGCAGAAUUCAGUGAAUCAUCGAAUCUUUGAACGCACCUUGCGCUCCUUGGUAUUCCGAGGAGCAUGCCUGUUUGAGUGUCAUUAAAUUCUCAACCUUUCCAUUAAUU